rnacentral:lncRNA from 1 species
GCCUGAAGGACUUCCGGGAACCGCAAAGCACGGUGUGCCUCCGCUGUCCUGAAGAAAAAGCCGCGCGCGGACGACUGGCCGGCCCGCGCUUGCAGCUCCCAGAAGUUGACAGGCAUCCUCCGGUGACCGGUGUGAGUAUGGCAUCAGGAUGAUUUGACUGCAAGCAACAGAAAAAUCAAACAAAAAUGGCCUAAGCCAAGAAGAGAAAUGAUUAUUUCACAUUCCAAGAAGUUUGGGAGUCGAGUGGUUAAACGGCUAAUUAAUCUAGAGCUCAACAGUAUCACCCAGGACCCAUUUUCACUAUGGUGGCUAAAGCUCUGCACCCUUCAGGCUUGCACCAUGGCAGCAGCAGUGACAGUAAAGACACCCUUACACCACAAUGCUCCAUGACCAGGGAGAGGGUCUCCUCUCUCCUGCCCCUUUCUGGAGGCUCCACCGAAGAUUUCUCUUCACAUUCCGUUUCUCAUUCCUGAAGCAGUUGCUGGCAACAGGGAUGGACUUACCGCAAUGGGUACAGAGCAACUAAGAUUCACCACUAGGCAGCACUUUAUGGCUUCUCUUGGGCAUAUCCAAAUUGCUACCAUCACUACUCGUAUUAGUCCAUUUUCACGCUGCUGAUAAAGACAUACCUGAGACUGAGAAAUUUACCAAAUAAAGAGGUGUACUGGACUUACAGUUCCACAUGGCUGGGGAGGCCUCACAAUCAUGGUGGAAGGCAAGAAGGAGCAAGUCAUGUCUUACAUGGAUGGCAGCUGGCAAAGAGAAAGCUUGUACAGGGAGACUCCCGUUUUGAAAACCAUCAGAUCUUGUGAGACUCAUUCACUAUUACAAGAACAGUGCAGGAAAGAUGCACCCCUGUACUUCAAUCACCUCCCAGCAGGUUCCUCCCACGACAUGUGGGAAUUGUGGGAGUUACAAUUCAAGAUGAGAUUUGGUUGGGGACACAGCCAAACCAUAUCACUACUCUUGUGCUUUGGGGCCAUUAUGAAGUAAAACAAGCAUUAUUUGAACACAAGAACUGCAAUACCACCACAGUAGAUCUGAUAACUGUUGGCUACUAAGUGACUAAGGGGCAGGUGAAGUAUACAGCUUGGAUGCGAUGGACAAAGAGGAAGAUCUACCUCCCAGCUGGGAUGGAGCAGGACGAUGCAAGAUUUCAUCACACUACUCAGAAAGGCAUGCAGUUUAAAGCUCGUAAAUUAUUUCAGGAAUUUUCCAUUUAAUAUUUUCAGGCUGUGGCUGACCGUGAGUAACAAACCCAGGAAAGCGAAACUGCAGAACAGUGGAUGGGAGAAAGGGUGAAUUACUGUAUAUUCAUGAGGGAUAUUAGUCCAUAGUUUCUUUUUUCCCUUUUAACAAAUUUUUGGGUUUUGUAUAUAGUUUGUCUGGUUUUGGUAUCAGGGUAAUACUAGCUUCAUAAAAUGAAUUGGAAAGCGUUUCUUCUGUUUUCCUAAAAAGAUUAUAUGGAAUUAGCAUUCAUUCUUUAAACACUUGGUAGAAAUCUUAAGUAAAACCAUCUGAGCUCGGAGAUUUUUUUGUGUGUGUUAUAAAAUUACAUAUUCAGUUUCCUUAAUAUUUAUAAGAUCAUUUUAAUUAUCUGUGUUUUUCAGUGAAACGGGUCAAUUUUCUGUAUGUUGUCAAAUUAAUAUUUGUAGAAUUGUAUUAGUAUUCUUCAUUAUCCUUUUGAUGUCUGCAGAAUCUGUAAUGGUAUCCCUGUUUUAUUUCUGAUAUUAAUUUGUGCCAUUAUGUCUUUUUUUCUUUGUUGAUCUUGUCAGAAGUUUGUCAAUUUUAUCAAUUUGUUCCAAGAACCAGCUCAUU